AUAGGAGUCUGAUCCAAAGCCCACUGAACUCAAUGGGGGACCUUCCCAUUGACUUCAGUGGGCUUUGGAUCAGUCCUUAAAU
rnacentral:pre_miRNA from 1 species